rnacentral:rRNA from 1 species
GAUGAACGCUAGCUACAGGCUUAACACAUGCAAGUCGAGGGGCAGCAUGGUCUUAGCUUGCUAAGGCCGAUGGCGACCGGCGCACGGGUGAGUAACACGUAUCCAACCUGCCGUCUACUCUUGGACAGCCUUCUGAAAGGAAGAUUAAUACAAGAUGGCAUCAUGAGUCCGCAUGUUCACAUGAUUAAAGGUAUUCCGGUAGACGAUGGGGAUGCGUUCCAUUAGAUAGUAGGCGGGGUAACGGCCCACCUAGUCUUCGAUGGAUAGGGGUUCUGAGAGGAAGGCCCCCCACAUUGGAACUGAGACACGGUCCAAACUCCUACGGGAGGCAGCAGUGAGGAAUAUUGGUCAAUGGGCGCAGGCCUGAACCAGCCAAGUAGCGUGAAGGAUGACUGCCCUAUGGGUUGUAAACUUCUUUUAUAAAGGAAUAAAGUCGGGUAUGUAUACCCGUUUGCAUGUACUUUAUGAAUAAGGAUCGGCUAACUCCGUG